rnacentral:lncRNA from 1 species
CAGAGAGAAUGGCUGUGAAGGCUCUAGCUGUUUCUGGUUUGGUUGGGUUCCUGGUAUGGUUGGUCUAACUAAUUAAAUAUAUAUAUACAUACACACAUAUAUAUAACAAUCCAGAGUAUAACCACUCUGUAGAUUCAGUCGACUAGUUUAAAAACUAUCAUUAGCAUAUAGCUCAUUCAGGCUUACAAAGGGUCUCAAUAAAAGAACACCUAUAAAAUUAUGUAGCCUUAAUUCAACACAACAUCUAUUUAAAAUAACCAUCUGUAUAUAAAUACUAGUGGUUAUUAUCGUCACCAAGACAUAUAUUUCUUUGACUAAUUAAAACUAUAGGUAUAAUUUACCCUCUACAUAUAUUGUCACCAACUAUUACCACCCAAACUGAGUCACCGAGAUUUACUCCCAGCUUCUCCCAAAUUCGUCUCCUUAAUUUCCUCCAAAAGUCUCCCUAAUUGUCUCCUUAAUUUCCUCCAAAAGUCUCCCUAAUUGUCUCCUUAAUUUCCUCCUAAAGUCUCCCCAAUUCGUCUCCUUAAUUUCCUCCUAAAUUCUCCGAGAUUUUCAAGUUUGGUGUUUCAUAACAUUCAAUUCCAAACCACAACAAUUACUGCUUUCCGUAGUUGAUCAUUUUAGUUUUAUAAGAAU